UGCUGGUUCGGGCAGAAAUCACACUAGCAUUUCCCUUCUUCAUCAUCCAGGGAGUUGCCUUGGCAGGACCAAAUUUUGACUCUCAAACUAGCCCCUUCCAUUCUUAGGGAUUUGGGGGCAGUACAAGCCAGAAGGA
rnacentral:lncRNA from 1 species